GAUCCCCUCUCCGUUGCCAUCUAUCCGGGUCUUAGAACCUAAGUUAGCCCUACAACUUAAUGAUAAUUUUGAGAUGGUGAUUGACUAACAGGAAGCGGCCUAAGCGUUGGAAUCAGAUCAGUCCAACACGUGGGUCGGUGUCCUUCCGUUACAGAGGCCUACCAGCCUAUAACGGAAAUAAAAAAGGCCCAAAUAAGAUUUUGGAGCUUUAUCAUAGAUUAAGCCCUUAUAAAAAUCCAAUACGAUAAGAGCCCGUGAUCAACGAACCUGUUAAGUAAAGUUGUUCUGAAGUCCCACAUUGACACACAGAAGAAGCGCAGGGCAAAGAGAUGGCUAUAAAAUAGACUGCUGUUGACUUAAGAACUCAUACCUUUCUCGGCCUUUUGGCUAAGAUCAAGUGUAGUAUCUGUUCUUAUCAGUUUAAUAUCUGAUACGUGGGACAAUGUCCCACAUGAUAUUAAAUUAAUUUUUUGAGGGGAAGGGUUCACCACGGUGGCUUGCCACUGGAGCCCUCAAGCGUCGCCCUUGCGUUGCACUACUGCUCGGGCCUGGCGUACCCCUCCAAAUAUAGUCUAAUUGUUGGGAUAUCCAGUGAUGGCGAAAGCAGUCGACAAAGGUUUGUUCUAACCUUGACUACUGAUGAUCAAAAGAAAGGAUACGGAAGAUUACCUAGUUCCUCUUCCAAAACAUUUAGCGGAAGGAAUUAUCAUUGCUUUCUUGCUGUUCAAAUUGCUAAGGUAAUCAGUUAUUCUUCACAAUAUCGAUGAAUACGUACGUUCGCGUUUAGUUUUUAACUCUGGCAUUUUUGAAUCUCUGUGCGGUAAUAUGUUGAAACAUGCUCCAUUGCGUACUGGAUUCUGAACUCCUUUCAAGUACCCAUUGCCUCCUCUGCUACAAUUUUUGAAGGUAUAUGCUCAUACAGAGGAUGGGUGGAUCAUUUGGGUCCUCUUUUACAUGAUCUGGGAGUUUGCUUGGCACCUGAACAGCUAACCUCUUGGGCUAUGUUCUUGACAAAGAUCUCAAUUUAAAUCGAACCAUCUCUUCCGAUUGAAUCAAUACUAUAAAUAAAUAAAAUUUUAAGCCUAAUAACUAAUUUUAUAACUAAUAUGAUUAACAAUAUAAGAGUUUAAUCUGAUUUUUAUGCUUAUAAUUUUUAUCCCUAAGCUUUAUUGGGACUUUAACUGGGGAUCUUACACAAGUCAAGAUACCCAUCGGGAGUACGAUUUCAAUAUUAAUCAUGCCCUAAACUUAUAACUUGAUUAUCCCACACAAAAUCCCGCGCUGCUCUCGAGAGAGAAACACUAGACUGGAGGCGGCAAGGGAAAAAAAAAAACAGAACCCAUAAUAAUAUGCUCCAAUGAAAACAAUAAAAGAGUAUAAACAUUAUACUGUGCUGUGAAAAUCUCACACAAUCCAAAGCAGCGAUUGGACAUAUCGAUUUAGCAUGCCCCAUUAAUUCGGGGAAGCAUUUAUACGCCGGCCAAGUGGCCAACACAACGCAGGUUAACAUUGUCAGAGACUACAUCAUAGUUACUACCCAAACUUUGAUAAAAUAUAUUUCCAACUAUUUAAGUUUAAAAAAUCUAUUUAUUUACCCAUCAACCAUUUUCAUUAAUAAAACUAUUUGGCUUCAAAUUAAGUUACUAUUUUAUCCUCUUGUCGUCAUCCACCUGUCUAGCUCAAUUCAAUCGAAAUCAAAUCAUUGUUCUCUUGUCGUUGUUUAUAUUGAAACUUGUUUUCUUCUACUCAUGUCAUCUUCAUCAAUAACAUUGUAAUAUGUUUGUUUGAAUUAGAUCUUGUUGAUUUAGUAUGCUUUAUGACCCUAAGUUUAUGUUGCUAUGUGAAAUUACUAGUUACAACUUUCAUGUUUGAUGAAACACCACUCUAUGAUCUCUAACAUCCACCAUUUGUCGUCUUUGA